GAGGCCUGCCUGCCCAGUGACAAACGUUCAACGGCCGCGGUAUCCUGACCGUGCAAAGGUAGCAUAAUCACUUGUUCCUUAAUUGGGGACUGGAAUGAAUGGCCUCACGAGGAUUCAACUGUCUCUUACCUCUAAUCAGUGAAAUUGACCUCCCCGUGAAGAGGCGGGGAUACAACAACAAGACGAGAAGACCCUAUGGAGCUUUAAUUUUCUGUCUUAACUACUAAAUAACUAACCCUACUGGGAUAAAAAAAAGAGAAGUAAGUCAGUAAUUUCGGUUGGGGUGACCUCGGAGAAUAAAACAACCUCCGAAUGAUUUUAACUAAGACAAACAAGUCAAAGUAUUAAAAAUCAAAUUGACCCAAUUCAUUUGAUCAACGGACCAAGUUACCCUAGGGAUAACAGCGCAAUCCUAUUCAAGAGUCCAUAUCGACAAUUAGGGUUUACGACCUCGAUGUUGGAUCAGGACAUCCCAAUGGUGCAGCAGCUAUUAACGGUUCGUUUGUUCAACGAUUAAAGUCCUACGUGAUCUG
rnacentral:rRNA from 1 species